rnacentral:ncRNA from 1 species
UGGAGUCGUCCUUGAAAUACCACCCUUGUAGUUUUGAUGUUCUAACGUUGGCCCCUGAAUCGGGGUUACGGACAGUGCCUGGUGGGUAGUUUGACUGGGGCGGUCUCCUCCCAAAGAGUAACGGAGGAGCACGAAGGUUGGCUAAGUACGGUCGGACAUCGUACGGUUAGUGUAAUGGUAGAAGCCAGCUUAACUGCGAGACAGACACGUCGAGCAGGUACGAAAGUAGGUCAUAGUGAUCCGGUGGUUCUGAAUGGAAGGGCCAUCGCUCAACGGAUAAAAGGUACUCCGGGGAUAACAGGCUGAUACCGCCCAAGAGUUCAUAUCGACGGCGGUGUUUGGCACCUCGAUGUCGGCUCAUCACAUCCUGGGGCUGAAGUCGGUCCCAAGGGUAUGGCUGUUCGCCAUUUAAAGUGGUACGCGAGCUGGGUUUAGAACGUCGUGAGACAGUUCGGUCCCUAUCUGCCGUGGGCGUUUGAGAAUUGAGAGGGGUUGCUCCUAGUACGAGAGGACCGGAGUGAACGAACCGCUGGUGUUCGGGUUGUCAUGCCAAUGGCAUUGCCCGGUAGCUACGUUCGGAACUGAUAAGCGCUGAAAGCAUCUAAGCGCGAAGCAGGCCUCGAGAUGA